rnacentral:rRNA from 1 species
AAUAUUGGACAAUGGGGGCAACCCUGAUCCAGCCAUGCCGCGUGUGUGAAGAAGGUCCUCGGUUUGUAAAGCACUUCUUGUUGGGAGGAAGGGCAGUAAGUUAAUACCUGGCUGUUUUGACGUUACCGACAGAAUAAGCACCCGCUAACUCUGCGCCAGCAGCCGCGGUAAUACAGAGGGUGCAAGCGUUAAUCGGAAUUACUGGGCGUAAAGCGCGCGUAGGUGGUUCAGUAAGAUGGGUGUGAAAUCCCCGGACUUAACCUGGGAACUGCUUUCAUAACUGCUGAGCUAGAGUAUGGCAGAGGGUGGUGGAAUUUCCUGUGUAGCGGUGAAAUGCGUAGAUAUAGGAAGGAACACCAGUGGCGAAGGCGACCACCUGGGCUAAUACUGACACUGAGGUGCGAAAGCGUGGGGAGCAAAC